CCUACGGGGCGCAGCAGUGGGGAAUAUUGCACAAUGGGGGAAACCCUGAUGCAGCGACGCCGCGUGAGUGAAGAAGUAUUUCGGUACGUAAAGCUCUAUCAGCAGGGAAGAAAAUGACGGUACCUGACUCAGAAGCCCCGGCUAACUACGUGCCAGCAGCCGCUGUAAUACGUAGGGGGCAAGCGUUAUCCGGAUUUACUGGGUGUAAAGGGAGCGUAGACGGCAGCGCAGGUCUGGAGUGAAAUCCCAGGGCUUAACCAUGGAACUGCUUUGGAAACUGUGCAGCUAGAGUGCAGGAGAGGGAAGCGGAAUGCCUAGUGUAGCGGUGAAAUGCGUAGAUAUUAGGAGGAACACCAGUGGCGAAGGCGGCUUACUGGACUGUAACUGACGUUGAGGCUCGAAAGCGUGGGGAGCAAACAGGAUUAGAUACCCCAGUAGUC
rnacentral:rRNA from 1 species